UUUUUAAUGUGAGCAUUUAAACUCACCGUUUGUUACAGAUUUAGUUAAGGUACUUCAUCUUAAGGUUUUGUCAAGGAGAAGUGCUCUGAAGGUAAAUCUGUACACCUCUCUCCCCCUCCAGCUCUUCCUCUUGGUGCCAAGCCACCCCUAGAAGCUCCCCUGCUUGGCAGACAGUACAGUUUCUGGAGGAUCUGAGUUGAUGUUUGCUGGUGCAAAAUGAAAAAAUGCUCCGCUAAUGCUUGUACAUGUUUAAGCAUGGAUUCUGACCAGCCUAUGCUUGACCCUUUCUAAAACAGGGAAAAAAUACCGCCUGUAUUCUGUAUAGUUUGGGGAGAAAGCCAGAUGAGAAAUCCAUGAUUUACAUUAUCAAAUUGUUCAGUGUCUUGCAGAGGACAGGCUAAUGGGCUGGUUGAUAUCUUAAACUUGUUAUUCUAGAAACUCUGAGAUUUUCUUGUAGUUGGCAAAAUGCAUGAAGUCCUGGGACAGAAAUGUGUUUUAAAAGAUUUUGAGACUCACUGGUUUCAUGUGACAGUACUCUGAGCACAGAUAGCAAUUGCUUACAAAAACUAAUGUUUUCUUUGUAGAAUUACAUCAUAAUUUUUUUUCUAGUUAAGGAAAAACAAAACCAAAAUCUGCUUCUUUUCUAAAGAUGUCUUUGGAUAAUACAAACUGUCUUCACAGCCUAUAGUUUUGAUACUCCCAGAACAGAGGCCAUACAGAUUCCCAAACAUCAAUAUUUUCAGGGACUCUUAGAUUGACUAGCAGUCCUUUUCUACCAGCUACCCCUGAAACACAAACUUAAUGUUCAGGUUUAUUUCUAGCUGCUCUGUCAUUUAAGAACAUAUCUGAAAGUCUGAUUACUACAGGAACUCCUUGCCUGGAAGAUAGAACCAAUUGUUCUCAGCUUCCUAAUAAUAGAUGAAGAACUGCACAAUGCUUUGCAACUGCAAUGAACUCCUUGUUACUUCUUACAUCUAAUAUUGGCAAACUUUUACCUAGCAAAUCUCCAAAUAGUGGUUUUAACCUCAUAGCAUUCAGCAUCUGUAAAAACUGUAGUUACCAUGGUAACAAGUUGUUACCCGAGUGACCGUGCUCUUAUGAUGUCAUCAGAAAACAGCCUGUUCCAAGGAGUACCUUGAACUCCCAUAUAUAAAAUGUUGCCCUUGCUGUGGUUCAGUAUGGAAACAAUUAGAAACUCGUAUUUUUAUGUCGUUAUGAAAUACCUCUUCUCAAUCUGUUGGCACAUCUUGACACCCACUGUGGAAUUUUUAAAGAAAACAAGAGAAUUACUUUGACCUUGUUGAAAGAGAGUUAUGUAAAACGUGUAUCUGGCAGUAGGAUGCUUUGGACUCAAUCUAUCCAGCAGCAGAAAGAGCUGGAGAAUGGAGCAACAACUGUAUUAUUGAAGAGCUCCAUAGCCACAGACUGGGAAAAGCAUGAUCGGAUGUGAUUUUCAGAACAGAUGCCCAAGCAGAGUUGGCAGUUAAUUAAAAGCACUAUGUACUUAAUGAUUAACUAAUCACAGCAUGAUGGCAUUCAACGGAGAUGCAAGAAACUUCUCUGCUGGAUUCAACAGAGAAACUCCUAAUGUCUGCCUUCAGGGAAGUAGAUGGAACGACAGGACUGGGCAGCAUCUCUGUGGUGGCAGCAGCACCCUCAUCACCCUAAUAACCACCCUCUGCUCAUUCUGCCCUCUCUCCAGUCUUGUUUCACUUCCACUUCCAGUCCUCAGCAAAACAAAUGAGUAGUGAGCUGCCUAGCAAAGAACAGAAGAUAAAGGUGGCAAGAAGAGGUUUAUAUCUUUGGUGUCUGCUGGAAGCAAGGAUAAUGUCUGGAUCCAUGUGGCACUAUGGCAGUUUUCUGGUGCCACUACAGGCAAGAGGAAUUUGUUCUGCUCUGGGUGUUAUUUGUGGCUGCCAGCAUGUAACUCAGCAGAUCUGGGACCUUGUCCCAGGGAUUUUCACGUGGAUAAGGCAGCCCUAGUAGAGUUGUUGGUCACUGUCCAGAAACCUUAAAAGUGUGCAGAAGCUUAGAGGCUGAACUGACCUUGCACAAACUUAGCCAACCUGAGCAAUCCAGAUGGGUGCUUCAUUAUUUAAGUGAUACUGCACUGUUAAGCUCCUUCAGAAAUGGACACGCCAAACCAACGUCUGAUCCUCAGAUCCUUAUCUCCUUUAUUUGCAGGACAAAGGAUUCUGAACCUCAAAUAGAACUGCAGAUGGAAAUGGUCCACGAGGGCCCAUUUCUCUCUACCCCAUCAGAAGUGUGUGGUGCUUCCCUUCUGUGUCAUGGAGCCACACUUGUAUGUGCAGAGUUGCCUUUGAACACAGAUGCAGGAUGCUUCGGAAGUGAUGGAUUGAGGUGCGCACAUAAUGACCUGUUCCAGUCAGAAACUGAGAGCCUCAGAAGGAGUUGCCAAGCAGAUCUAUAGAAUGAGAUUCAGCUAACUUGGCGUAUCUUCUGGGGAUUCAGAAGGGCCAUCAGCUACCAGCACCCACAGGAGGAAAACCAGCCAAACAAAGGUAUAAUUUUUGCAAGUUUUAGUGGAAGUGCAGUGAGCUUUAUUUCUUUCAUUCAUUACUGGUAUAUAUUCAUGAUUUUCUCCCUAGUAAAGGAGGACCUUAUAAAUAUUUGUUAAAUACAUUGAUGCACUACAAUGAGUUGACUGGAGUUAUGAACCUUGGGUCAGACUUAGGGUUUCAGACAUCAAACAGGAAUAAAACAGUUUUCACCCUGGGUGAACUGGUCCAGAAAGCUUUUUUCCCUUUUCUUGUUAUGCAAGCAAAUGGAAUAUGGUCCCCUAAAAUACUAUAAUCAUGAACUACAAGCUAUGUUUAUCUAUAGGCUCAAAAAGGAAUUGUGAGCCUUGAAAGUGGCAUGUAUAAGUAUAUAUGAAAGGUGCCAAAUUAGCAUCAAAUAAACAAAAGUGAUGUUCCAGAAAGCUGAAUUCAUUAAAGCUUCAUUCCUUGUAGCAAUAACAGAAGUUUUCCAUGCUAUCUGGAGCACCCCUGGCUUUUGAGAAAAGGAGAUGUGGUGAAAGUUAGAGUUGGUAAGAACUGCAGAAGGAGGCAAGGUAAGGUUUAUUUUGAAUAAUAAGUUGUUAUCUCAAAAUGAUAGAGAAUGAGUUAUACUACAUUUUAAAAGACAUUAGGCUUCAAAUAUAGCACCUGAUAGCAGCGCUUAUGAGCUUUUCUAAAAGGCUUCAUGUUUUGUCUAAUUUGGUUAUAACUGGUUUGCAUGAGCAAUUCUUUUGAAAUUACCUACAAUGGUGGCACUGAAAUGCAGUGACGUUGUUACAGACCUGGAUUGGCUGAAUGACUGAACUGACCAACUGCUAUUUUCACAACAAUUAUGUGGUUUUUCUUCUUGAGGGGUUUUUAGAUCAGAUCCCUGCAGGAACAGAACGAGUGGAGUUUUAAUUUUGUUAUUAUGAAUGUUUUGAUAUUACAGUAAUGAUUUUUUGAUACUUGUUAAUAAAACUUUGGGAUUAUAGUAGUGGAAGCCUCAGAGUAGCUUUCAUAAUCUAUUGAUUUUGUGUUUCAUAGGGGUGAUUUUUCUUUCUUUGUCACCAUCAGUUGUUUGGUUUCUUUAUUUUUGUGUAUAUUUCUGUGUUUUUGUCUACCAGCAAGUGCUGCUACUUACAAAGUAUAUGCAGAUUUACAUUACCCUAUCAAGCAUGUUUACAUUACCCUAUCAAGUGCCACCAGCACAGCCCAAGUUUCAUAACACAUCAUCAUACUCAGUGGGAACUUUGCUUCAGG